GACGAACGCUGGCGGCGUGCCUAAUACAUGCAAGUCGAACGAACCGCGACUAGGUGCUUGCACUUGGUCAAGGUGAGUGGCGAACGGAUGAGUAACACGUGGGUAACCUACCUCAUAGUGGGGGAUAACAGUCGGAAACGACUGCUAAUACCGCAUAGGACAUAGGAUCACAUGAUCCAGUGAGGAAAGGUGGCGCAAGCUAUCGCUAAGAGAUGGACCCGCGGUGCAUUAGCUAGUUGGUAGGGUAAAGGCCUACCAAGGCGAUGAUGCAUAGCCGACCUGAGAGGGUGAUCGGCCACAUUGGGACUGAGACACGGCCCAAACUCCUACGGGAGGCAGCAGUAGGGAAUCUUCCGCAAUGGACGCAAGUCUGACGGAGCAACGCCGCGUGAGUGAAGAAGGUCUUCGGAUCGUAAAGCUCUGUUGUUAGAGAAGAACAGCGCAUAGAGUAACUGUUAUGCGUGUGACGGUAUCUAACCAGAAAGCCACGGCUAACUACGUG
rnacentral:rRNA from 1 species